AAAAACAAGAUAACUUAAUAGAAUCACCUUUAGAACAAAUAGUAAGAUUAACCAGAGAAAAUAAUGAGGAAAACAAUAAUGAAUCAUAUAGUAAUAAUCGUGAUAGUAGUACAAUUAGUUAUGACAUCACUAAAAGAAAGAAUCUAAGAAAGAAAAAGUUAACCCUGAAAGAUAUUUAUGAAAAAUUAGAUAAAAUGGAAAAAAGAGUAC
rnacentral:lncRNA from 1 species